AAACGGCGGCCGUAACUAUAACGGUCCUAAGGUUAACCAAACGCUAGCCUUAGUAAAACUGAACCAUAUGCGGGAAACUCCUCAACAGCCAUUCAGUACUCGUCCACACUAGUGGAAAGUAAAAAUCUGAUGGACAAGGGGACAAUCCGCAGGGAAGGCCUGGUUUGUACCAGGAACCCUCAGAGACUUUACGUUCGGGAACUGCCAAUGAAACUUGAAUCUCAAUGGAUCACAGGUUUUGUGGAUGGUGAAGGUUGUUUUCAUGUGGGGAUUAAUCCUCAUACGGAAAUGACGGCAGGCUACCAAGUGUUGCCUGAAUUCACUGUCGUACAACACAAACGUGAUAUUCAAAUACUGCAUGCGCUCAAAGAUUAUUUUGGUUGUGGUGUUGUUCGUACCAACCAUGGUGAUCGGAUGGCGUAUCGGGUGAGGUCUAUCAAAGAUCUCUCACAGAUUAUCAUUCCAUUUUUUUUCAAGCAUCCUCUCCAGUCAAAGAAACGAAUUGAUUUUGAAAAAUUCAAAUCGGUUCUAUCUCUGAUGAAUGAGGAUGUUCAUUUGCACGCAGACGGAAUUGAGGAAAUCCGUCGGAUUGCGAGUCAAAUGAAUCGAGGUAGUUUAAGAUAAAGUCCGGCUCAUAUGGAAACAUAUGA
rnacentral:ncRNA from 1 species